GCGGCUGCCUAUAGGAAGCGCUCCCCCUAAGGCCAUUAUCAUCUCCAAAAUAACGGCUUCCUAAGAGCCAACAAAAGCAGAUGUUUGAUAAAGACACUCUUAAUUGUUCUUUUUUUUAUCAUCCAGUACAACAUAUGCAACCUCUACCAUAUGCCGCACAACAUGUUCCAGUGAGCAGCUGUCAGAAAACUUGACAAGGGUGAAUUGAAGAAAAUCUUUGCUUUGUGUUGAACAGACGGUCUGUGAAGCUGAGAGACCUUUUGGUAUGUUCGGCAUGCUCCACUUCAAUUUCCAGGCGGCGGCAGGUGUUCUCUGCACACCAUGACAUCCCACAGAGAGGGAUAAAGGCUAACAUAUGAUCUUCACUCCCGCUCAUUAGAUGACCUUUCAAACAAUUGCCUUGAUUAAGCUGCACAUUAGUCACAUGCUUCCUGUGGAGCUGUUCAGCAAAGCCCAAGUAAGCCAGGAAAUCAACCUCAGGGACGGAGCGGCGAGGGCUGAGUCGAUGGAUCGGUGUUUCAAACAAUAUUGUCAAACAUUUUAAGCUAUUAAACAGAAAGAAGAUUUGAAAAUGUGCUUAUUUUCUCAAUAUUUGUUCAUUUUGCUUUGGGAAAACCUUCCUCCCUCUUUUUAUUGUGCAGUUUAAAUAGCACUGUGAUUCUGACUUCCCAGCCUCGCUAUUCUCAAUAGAUGUUAAUUCAACACAUUAUUUAAUGAAUAAUUUAAUGAAAUCAGAUCCAAAGAUGGUUAUCUUGCAGAAUGUAUAGCUGUGGUGCAUAUUCAGUGAAGACAAUGACCUUUCUCACUGGCUACAAUGUGAAAUGUGCAAUUAUAGGAAAGGUAUGCAGUUCCUGUUUUUCUUAAAUGUUUUGUCUUGUAUGCUCAACCUUAACGAGGUUAAGUAAGCUAUAAUGUUUUUCCUGCAUCUUUCACUUUGUUCUUGAUUAGUUUGGUCUAAUUCUUCAUUUUUAUGUCUGUUGUCACAUCAGCCAAGCAAGCAUGGACAAACUGUUUGAAGAUGGAUGUUACUACUUAUUUACAUACUGAAGCAGUGGUGCUUUCAAAGCCUUCAUGCUUUUAAACAUGUCAUCAGGCUGUCAGAGAUGAGCCUACUUAACUGUUCCAGCACUGCAUUGGUUUCAGGACACACCGCUCAUCUCACAGUCCAAACAGCAUGGUGAAGAACACCAAACACACUCGUGUUUCUCUCUGUGAAGCUUCGGUUAGAGGGAAAAUUUACAUUUGCUCUGCUUAUAUUGGACAAACAAGCUGUAAUGCUUCUGUAGGUUUACAGACACACAGACAGAUGGUCAUCAGGGAGACUUCAAUCCAAACACUCGUUUUAUUACUCUUUUCUUUCAGGAAGAAGUCAUAGUAAAUACAAGCUAAAUAAUCAUUUUUGGUUCUCCAGCAGUCUCGGGUUUCUCUAUAGGCUCCAACACACACUGAGAAACAGAUAUAGGAAGAUAAAUAUAAAUAUACUGAGGCUCAGUGCACACAAGAAGAAUAACAUUGAAGUACUAGUUGUGAAAUUCAUGGUCAUGGGGGUAUCCUGGUGGGUCAGUGGACUAAGGUGCAUACCAUGGUGUCUUAUAUCUGUCUCAUGUUUCCUGUUAUUCGUCUCUGUCUAUGCAAAAUGCCAGAAACAUAAUCUGUAAAACAAAUUUUAAUAAAACUGAAUCUCAUCUAGUGAGUACUUGAACAGCAUAUCAAGGUACUUCUGCAUCAUUGCUGCUUGGUUGAACUUCACCUCUGUUAAUUAAAAAAUAUAAAUCAAGGCCCUUCUCAGUGUGCAUUCUUGCAUAAUUUUGGAUGAUCACGUCUGGAUCCUC